rnacentral:rRNA from 1 species
GGGCGUUAAGUUGCAGGGUAUAGACCCGAAACCCGGUGAUCUAGCCAUGGGCAGGUUGAAGGUUGGGUAACACUAACUGGAGGACCGAACCGACUAAUGUUGAAAAAUUAGCGGAUGACCUGUGGCUGGGGGUGAAAGGCCAAUCAAACCGGGAGAUAGCUGGUUCUCCCCGAAAGCUAUUUAGGUAGCGCCUCGUGAAUUCAUCUCCGGGGGUAGAGCACUGUUUCGGCUAGGGGGCCAUCCCGGCUUACCAACCCGAUGCAAACUGCGAAUACCGGAGAAUGUUAUCACGGGAGACACACGGCGGGUGCUAACGUCCGUCGUGAAGAGGGAAACAACCCAGACCGCCAGCUAAGGUCCCAAAGUCAUGGUUAAGUGGGAAACGAUGUGGGAAGGCCCAGACAGCCAGGAUGUUGGCUUAGAAGCAGCCAUCAUUUAAAGAAAGCGUAAUAGCUCACUGGUCGAGUCGGCCUGCGCGGAAGAUGUAACGGGGCUAAACCAUGCACCGAAGCUGCGGCAGCGAACGUAUCACUUAAAGCGAUUCAGCGGGUUACGAUUGACGGAGCGAAGCGACGUCAAAGCGUAUACAAAGUCGAGUCGGUUUAAGGAUACGUUCGUUGGGUAGGGGAGCGUUCUGUAAGCCUGUGAAGGUGKSCUGUGAGGSWUGCUGGAGGUAUCAGAAGUGCGAAUGCUGACAUAAGUAACGAUAAAGCGGGUGAAAAGCCCGCUCGCCGGAAGACCAAGGGUUCCUGUCCAACGUUAAUCGGGGCAGGGUGAGUCGACCCCUAAGGCGAGGCCGAAAGGCGUAGUCGAUGGGAAACGGGUUAAUAUUCCCGUACUUGGUGUUACUGCGAAGGGGGGACGGAGAAGGCUAUGUUGGCCGGGCGACGGUUGUCCCGGUUUAAGCGUGUAGGUGUGUGUUCCAGGUAAAUCCGGUUCACUUUAACACUGAGGCGUGAYGACGAGGCACUACGGUGCUGAAGCAACAAAUGCCCUGCUUCCAGGAAAAGCCUCUAAGCAUCAGGUAACAUCAAAUCGUACCCCAAACCGACACAGGUGGUCAGGUAGAGAAUACCAAGGCGCUUGAGAGAACUCGGGUGAAGGAACUAGGCAAAAUGGUGCCGUAACUUCGGGAGAAGGCACGCUGACACGUAGGUGAAGUGAUUUACUCAYGGAGCUGAAGUCAGUCGAAGAUACCAGCUGGCUGCAACUGUUUAUUAAAAACACAGCACUGUGCAAACACGAAAGUGGACGUAUACGGUGUGACGCCUGCCCGGUGCCGGAAGGUUAAUUGAUGGGGUCAGCGCAAGCGAAGCUCCUGAUCGAAGCCCCGGUAAACGGCGGCCGUAACUAUAACGGUCCUAAGGUAGCGAAAUUCCUUGUCGGGUAAGUUCCGACCUGCACGAAUGGCGUAAUGAUGGCCAGGCUGUCUCCACCCGAGACUCAGUGAAAUUGAACUCGCUGUGAAGAUGCAGUGUACCCGCGGCAAGACGGAAAGACCCCGUGAACCUUUACUAUAGCUUGACACUGAACAUUGAGCCUUGAUGUGUAGGAUAGGUGGGAGGCUUUGAAGUGUGGACGCCAGUCUGCAUGGAGCCGRCCUUGAAAUACCACCCUUUAAUGUUUGAUGUUCUAACGUGGACCCGUGAUCCGGGUUGCGGACAGUGUCUGGUGGGUAGUUUGACUGGGGCGGUCUCCUCCUAAAGAGUAACGGAGGAGCACGAAGGUUGGCUAAUCCUGGUCGGACAUCAGGAGGUUAGUGCAAUGGCAUAAGCCAGCUUGACUGCGAGCGUGACGGCGCGAGCAGGUGCGAAAGCAGGUCAUAGUGAUCCGGUGGUUCUGAAUGGAAGGGCCAUCGCUCAACGGAUAAAAGGUACUCCGGGGAUAACAGGCUGAUACCGCCCAAGAGUUCAUAUCGACGGCGGUGUUUGGCACCUCGAUGUCGGCUCAUCACAUCCUGGGGCUGAAGUAGGUCCCAAGGGUAUGGCUGUUCGCCAUUUAAAGUGGUACGCGAGCUGGGUUUAGAACGUCGUGAGACAGUUCGGUCCCUAUCUGCCGUGGGCGCUGGAGAACUGAGGGGGGCUGCUCCUAGUACGAGAGGACCGGAGUGGACGCAUCACUGGUGUUCGGGUUGUCAUGCCAAUGGCACUGCCCGGUAGCUAAAUGCGGAAGAGAUAAGUGCUGAAAGCAUCUAAGCACGAAACUUGCCCCGAGAUGAGUUCUCCCUGAGACUUWRRGUCUCCUGAAGGAACGUUGAAGACGACGACGUUGAUAGGCCGGGUGUGUAAGCGCAGCGAUGCGUUGAGCUAACCGGUACUAAUGAACCGUGAGGCUUAACCUU